CCAGACUCCUACGGGAGGCAGCAGUGAGGAAUAUUGGUCAAUGGGCGAGAGCCUGAACCAGCCAAGUCGCGUGAGGGAGUACUGCCCUAUGGGUUGUAAACCUCUUUUGUCGGGGAGCAAAAGCCGGACGUGUCCGGCUGUGAGAGUACCCGAAGAAAAAGCAUCGGCUAACUACGUGCCAGCAGCCGCGGUAAUACGUAGGGAGCGAGCGUUGUCCGGAAUUACUGGGUGUAAAGGGAGCGUAGGCGGGAUUGCAAGUUGGAUGUGAAAACUGCGGGCUCAACCCGGAGCGUGCACUCAAAACUGCGAUUCUUGAGUGAAGUAGAGGCAAGCGGAAUUCCUAGUGUAGCGGUGAAAUGCGUAGAUAUUAGGAGGAACACCAGUGGCGAAGGCGGCUUGCUGGGCUUUUACUGACGCUGAGGCUCGAAAGUGUGGGGAGCAAACAGGAUUAGAUACCCUCGUAG
rnacentral:rRNA from 1 species